rnacentral:rRNA from 1 species
AGAGUUUGAUCAUGGCUCAGGACGAACGCUGGCGGCGUGCUUAACACAUGCAAGUCGAGCGCAGGAAGCUCACGGAACUCUUCGGAGGGAAGUGAAGGGAAUGAGCGGCGGACGGGUGAGUAACACGUAAGGAACCUGCCCCAAGGAUUGGGAUAACUCCGAGAAAUCGGAGCUAAUACCGAAUAGUUCUUCAGACCGCAUGGUCUGAUGAUGAAAGGCGCUUCGGCGUCACCUUGGGAUGGCCUUGCGGUGCAUUAGCUAGUUGGUGGGGUAAUGGCCCACCAAAGCGACGAUGCAUAGCCGACCUGAGAGGGUGAUCGGCCACACUGGGACUUAGACACGGCCCAGACUCCUACGGGAGGCAGCAGUAGGGAAUCUUCCACAAUGGAUGAAAGUCUGAUGGAGCAACGCCGCGUGAGUGAUGAAGGUUUUCGGAUCGUAAAACUCUGUUGUAAGGGAAGAACAAGUACGAGAGGGAAUGCUCGUACCUUGACGGUACCUUGCCAGAAAGCCACGGCUAACUACGUGCCAGCAGCCGCGGUAAUACGUAGGUGGCAAGCGUUGUCCGGAAUUAUUGGGCGUAAAGCGCGCGCAGGCGGCCUUUUAAGUCUGAUGUGAAAGCCCCCGGCUCAACCGGGGAGGGUCAUUGGAAACUGGAAGGCUUGAGUACAGAAGAGAAGAGUGGAAUUCCAUGUGUAGCGGUGAAAUGCGUAGAGAUGUGGAGGAACACCAGUGGCGAAGGCGACUCUUUGGUCUGUAACUGACGCUGAGGCGCGAAAGCGUGGGGAGCAAACAGGAUUAGAUACCCUGGUAGUCCACGCCGUAAACGAUGAGUGCUAGGUGUUGGGGGGUUUCCGCCCCUCAGUGCUGAAGCUAACGCAUUAA